ensembl:lncRNA LINC01478 long intergenic non-protein coding RNA 1478
UCUUAUCACCAAACUGUUUUGAAAGAUAAAAGUACUUCCUGAAUAUGUGGAUGGUGAGCCACGUGAAUGGAAGACAUGGAGAUAUGGACUGUUAACACCUUGUCAAACAUUUAUUGUCCCUUCCACCUCUAAACUUCUGUGAUAAUAGGUGAACAGGACCCACGUGGUGCAGAAUACUGCGAUACACACUGCGGAAUAAUUCAGGGACUGGGAGUUGGAGAGGGGAGACUGGAGAGAGUAGGAAGGUUUUGGUAUCAAGAUGAUGCUGGCCUCAUAAAUUGAGGCAGGUCCCUGAUGCUGUUAUUCCUGACUGUGUGAGACCUCUGAACAGAGGGGAAGAAGCUGGCUGCAAUCUUUGCUGUUUCACGGCCUUCAUUUGUGAUACAUCCAGAAAACUGCAGCAGCCCUAUGAUAGAGUAGCCUGAUGGUUGAAAACAACAACAACAUCAACAAGAAAGACCCAACUAAAAUCUCAUUCAAAGAAGAAAGAGACAUUAUACAAAUGCAAGCUGUUGUCACAACAAUGAUAAGAAAUCAGGAGUCGAAAGAUGUGGAGUAAGGGGGAAUUUCAGAGAAACCACAAAACACAAAAUAGGAAACAGAGACAGGAGAAGAUUGCUAUGACAAAAUUGCAGAAGGUGAAAUCUUUGGCAGCCUCUUAUUUCUCUGGAGAAUAUGAUAUUGUCAGGCUGAGGUGGAAGAAUCACAUGGUCAUACUGUUGAAGAGGUCUUGAAACAUUGGGCUUUCCUCUACAAGCGGAAGGAUAGCACUGGCAGCCAUCCACUGGCCCAGCAAUAUCCUGGAUUGAGACGAUAUCAUUUGCAUUACUUGCUGAAUGAAACAUAGUGAAAAUGACUGCAGAUAACCUCAACUAAGUCCAAGAUAUCAUUUUCAAAUCUGGACCAGCCCUUGCCAUCUAGACUGAACAGAGAUUCCAGUUUCCAGGAGAGUAGAUGGAGUAAUGAUAAAAGCACCUCCCAAAACUUUUGCCUUGGUACUACAGAGUGGCACAUAACUAAACAUUAUCAAGGAAUUUUACAGCCCUAGGCCUUCUAUUACUGUGUAUUACAGUCUGCUGUAAUCAUUCUAAUGGUCUAAGAUGUUGCAAGUAAUUUACUCACGGCCUGAACACCAGAAGUGCCAAAAUUGCCUGGGAGUUUUAUUCUGCAUCCAACCAGUACCAGGAAGGAGGAUGUAUUACUUCUCGUUUCUCUACAAGUGUCAGUGCAAAUCCAGCCAUCAAACAAAACUUAGACCUAAAAGCUUUUAGAUUACAGCGAUUAUUGCAGAUUUUACAUGAGAUAAAAAUGUAAUUGCUCCAUU